AUUUGCACAAAUAUUUACUGAGCCGUAAAAACUUGCCUUUCAUUUGCUGAAGAACUGGCCUCUGCAGCUAAUGAAGAUCUACCCAUUUUUGCCCAGCACUUCCUUGUUACUGUAAGGUGUUGUCUAAUCAAAUGUUUCUAAUAAGGGUGUAUUGAGGACAAAUCUUCUUAUAGAGUUCAAUGGUUUUAUUGAAAUUUAGGGAUUUCUACAAAACAAUCAUAUUUUAUAGCUGUAUUCGUUCAAACUGCAUUUUCGAGUAUUAUUAUGAGUUCGUUUUAACGGCGACUUUCUAUUUUCUUCUGAGACACAGCCAUGCACCGGAUGAGUUUGAUUGAAAUUAUAUUCCCCAUAUACUACUGAUCCCAGAGAGCCUGUCCUUACAGAACCAAAAAAAGUUUUUUUUUUUUUUUUUUUUAUCUCCAGAAUGUAACAUUUUUAAAAUGAAAGGCUGGAAAGACACAAAGGUACUUUAACCAUAACCACUUUAGAUGAAGUGAUAAUGGAGUGGUUACAGUACUUGAUGACCCAUUAGACCAAGGGUGCCCAAAAGGUUUAUACCCCCCAGCUUUUCCUGCCAGGUCCUGAACAUAGCAUGAGAGUGUCUUAUGAUGUGCUAGUGCUAUGAUUGUCGGGGACAGUUCCCUGGUGUCGUGAAAAUAUCGCUGUGCCUCUGAAUUUUGGAAGGUUGAGAGCCAUGCUUUAAUACUGUUUUCUGUGCAAAUCAGCAUGUGAGUACUGUCCAUUUCCACUGGAUUUCAGUAAAUUCAAAGAAAUUGUGAAAUCAAAGUCAAAAUAGCACAGACAGAGGAAUCUAGCUAUUCUGUCCAAAUUUUACAGUAUUACAGUCUCUGAACCAAAUUUACUGUUGUUGAAUAAAUCCCUAUACUUGCACAUUGAUUUAUGUGUCCCUUCCAUUUAGUCAUAUAUACUGCCAGCCCAUGUUUUUAAUCACUUCCUCUCGCUUCCAUUUAAUUUGCCCAAAAAUUGUAUUUUAAUGCUAAAUGUCCACUUCUUCCUAACCCAACACUACUUGCCCAUAUUCCCUCUUCAUGUCUCCUUACAAAAUGUACUUGGUCUUCCCCAUUUUGUAUGUAGCCUUCUUUCACACUCCAUCACGUUCCCUUACUAUACGCAGAAUUACUUACCUUUUCUUACUGUUUUUUUCUUUCAUUAGCCUUGUCUUUGUCAUUUUUAUAUGUGCCUGCUGUCUUCCACUAGAACUACUUCUUCUGAUUCUCUUUUGAAUAAUAUACUAUCAGCAUGGGGACACAGCCCAAUGCAGAUUCAUAAUACCCAUUGUGCAUACCAUUGUGCAUAUUGUGUGCCUGAUUGCAGGACCAGUGGCAGCAGCGAAUUGAUAGUUGCAAUUUUUGUGUGUGUGUGUUUGUGUGUGUGUGUGUGUGUGCGUGCUAAGAAGCAGAGGCUGCUUGUUCCAUUCUUUUAUAGCUGUUGUGUAAUACAAAUACAAAUAUUGUAUCACACAGCCUUGUUACAAUGCUGCCGCCCAUCCCAUGUGUUCCCUUUUAAGGGUUAAUAAGUAUAUAGGGGUGUAUAUAAAAAAAUACCCCUCUCUGUCUCAAUAGAGAUAUUUUUUCCAGAAGCUCCAGGAAGCAGGCUGAAGGGUCAGUGUUAGGACCCGCUUAGGGGGGUCUGCCUUGACGUUGGCAGGCGGACAUUUCCUCCAAUGGCCAUUGGACCAACUAAAUGACCUCCAUUUGUCUAAAUAUACAUAGGGAUUAAGGAGAGAGCGCAGGUAACUUUUUCUUUUCUUUUGUUGUGUAAUACAAGUCCAUCUACAGUCAAACACAAACACAAAUUGUCGCACCUGCAUAAAAUAACUCUGAUACAUACAUCUAUUGAGGUAUAAUUGAGUGCCACUAACCCGUUCAUGGCAAGGGCUUUAUUUUGUACUUUAAGACAGAGCUGUCACAUGUUUGCAUAUUAUACAGUUCCUAUUCAUUUAUUAUCUCAAAUGUAUGUUUUUGCAAGUCUGAAGGAUUAAAAUAAAAUGUAUAUAAAUAAA